GUCCACGCUGUAAACGAUGUCUACUAGCCGUUGGGCGACUUGAUCGCUUAGUGGCGCAGUUAACGCGAUAAGUAGACCGCCUGGGGGAGUACGGCCGCAAGGUUAAAACUCAAAUGAAUUGACGGGGGCCCGCACAAGCGGUGGAGCAUGUGGUUUAAUUCGAUGCAACGCGAAGAACCUUACCAGGUCUUGACAUCCUAGGAAUCCUGCAGAGAUGUGGGAUGCCUUGGGAAUCUAGAGACAGGUGCUGCAUGGCUGUCGU
rnacentral:rRNA from 1 species